CGAAAAUGACCGGAACUAAGUUUUUUGCCGAAGCUGUGGAUAUAGACACUUAAAGUGCUAUGUGGUAGAGGAGCGUUCCGCAUGGGGGGAAGCCAAGCGCGUAAGCAGCGGUGGACAGUGCGGAAGUGAGAAUGUCAGAUUGAGUAACGAAAACAUUGGUGAGAAUCCAAUGCCCCGAAAACUUAAGGGUUCCUCUGCAAGGCUCGUCCGCAGAGGGUUAGUCAGGACCUAACAUGAGGCCGAAAGGCGUAAUGGAUGGCAAGAAGGUUUAUAUUCCUUCACUAUUGUUUUCUUAGUCCUGAGGGACGAACAAAUGCACACCUUUUUUGUGUCCAGGCUUGGCAGCUUGGAAGUCACACACGAAUGGUUGGACAUUUUUUCCAAGAAAAGCUCAUUCGACUUUGAGAAAAUAAUACCUGUACCGUAAACCGACACAGGUGAGUGGGUUGAAUAAACUAAGGGGAGCGAGAUAACUCUCUCUAAGGAACUCGGCAAAUUGGCUCUGUACCUUCGGAAGAAAGAGUGCCCUGUAAAGGGCCGCAGUGAAGAGAUCCAGGCGACUGUUUACCAAAAACACAGGUCUCCGCAAAGUCGCAAGACGAAGUAUGGGGGCUGACACCUGCCCAGUGCCAGAAGGUUAAAGAAGUUGGUCAAUCUUCGGAUGAAGCUGACAACUGAAGCCCUGGUGAACGGCGGCAGUAACUAUAACUGUCCUAAGGUAGCGAAAUUCCUUGUCGGGUAAGUUCCGACCCGCACGAAAGGUGUAACGAUCUGGAUACUGUCUCAGAGAGAGACUCGGUGAAAUAAAAAUAUCUGUGAAGAUGCGGAUUACCUGCACACGGACAGAAAGACCCUAUGAAGCUUUACUGUAACCUGGAAUUGCUCUCAAGCUUAUUUCGCGCAGCUUAGGUGGGAGACGUUGAACCUUUUCUUCCGGGAAAGGGGGAGUCAUCAGUGAGAUACCACUCUUGGUAAGCUAGAGCGCUCAUUUUUAACCGUUAUCCGGUAAAAAGACAGUUUCAGGCGGGCAGUUUGACUGGGGCAGUCACCUCCCAAAGGGUAAUGGAGGUGUACAAAGGUUCUCUCAGGCUGGACGGAAAUCAGCCAUAGAGUGUAAAAGCAUAAGAGAGCUUGACUGCGAGACGGACAUGUCAAGCAGAGACGAAAGUCGGUUUUAGUGAUCCGACGGUGCUGAGUGGAAAGGCCGUCGCUCAACGGAUAAAAGUUACUCUAGGGAUAACAGGCUAAUCUCCCCCAAGAGUUCACAUCGACGGGGAGGUUUGGCACCUCGAUGUCGGCUCGUCGCAUCCUGGAGCGGAAGUACGUUCCAAGGGUUGGGCUGUUCGCCCAUAGAAAGCGGUACGUGAGCUGGGUUCAGAACGUCGUGAGACAGUUUGGUCCAUAUCCUGUGUAGGCGUUUAGAGCAUUGAAAGGAUCUCCCCUUUGUACGAGAGGACCAGGUGGGGACAGACCGCUAGUGUACCAGUUAUUCCGCCAGGGGUAAACGCUGGGUAGCUAUGUCUGGAGUAAAUAACUGCUGAAAGCAUAUAAGUAGGAAGUUCACCUUAAGAUGAGUGCUCUUUUGUCAGCAAUGCCAUUUUGGCAUGCAACUAAGACAAGCAAGGUCACGGCAAGACCAGCCGUUUGAUAGGCAUGAUGUAGAAGUACAGCAAUGUAUUCUGAAGCUGACAUGUCCUAAUAGACCGAGAGAUUUGAUUUU
rnacentral:rRNA from 1 species